UUUCCGUUUCCAAAUUUAUGUCUACGAAAUCUACAAAAUGUUUAGCCCAUCUACAUUUUCCAAGUAAGCUUACACUAUUUGUUAGUUUUAAACACAUACAACAACAACAUUGAAUCUCAACAAAUAAAUCGCAAAUCUCUUGAUUGGAGGGAUGAAAGCGCAGUUGCAAUUAAGAUAUAAAGCCGAUGAGAAGCUCAAUAAUUGAUGCAUUAAUUGGAAUUUAUUACACUUCACCCAAAAUGUUUGAGUAACCUUUUAACUUUUGGAAAAGAAGUAACACAUUUAAGAUAACUUAAAGAUAUUAUUUCAAUGAACCAAGUGGAAAACGUUCGUCUCAGAAGUUGAGUGUGAGAAUAUAAGAAUCUCAACAUUUAAUUUACCACCUCCCAGGCACCCACAUCAUCGCACAUCAUCAUCUUAAGCGGCAAAGGGCAUAAUGCCCGAAUCCAGAAGUGGACAAAAAUUGAAUCUCCCGGCAUAUGGUUAUAAUCCCGCCAAGCGUAUUAGCAACUUGGCCGGGGAAUGGAAAAUGGGAAAUUGGGGGGAGUGUAGAGAACGGUGAGUUUGGUGACGGGAGACGGGGGACCAGCCUAAUCUAUUAUGCGGCUGGACAAUCUGUUUGUGUGAAAAGCCGUCGGCGAUGGUGAUUUAAGAUCCGAGAUGGAACACAAGCAGAACUGUAACGAGCCAGAGAGCGAGUGCGAUUAAAUAAUCUCACAUGAAUGGGAGGCGGCUAUUUGGAGAACUUGGUGCCACGGAACCCGAAGAUGUCUCGAGAUCAAGGGUGAAUAUUGGAUGUUUAAACUAGAUGUAUAGUGCUAGAUAUGGGGGCAACACAACGUACAUCGGAGCGAACGGCACAUUUCGUCCUCACAAUAAAUUAUGAACUAUGUUAUAU
rnacentral:sRNA from 1 species